UAGUGUUUUAGAACAAUUUUAUACAUAUGCAUGACAUGAAUUAUGAUGGGGUUAAUACCAAAUGAGUUAAGUCUUGCGUAAGCAGUUUAAGCAAGCCCUAGGUUGACCUGGAUGUAUUCAGACUCUAUGCGGCGGUUUCAGGAUGUAAGCGAGCCCUUUGGUAUGGUAUGUGCAGGGUGUAAGCGAGCCCUUUGGUAUGGUAUGUGCAGGGUGUAAGCGAACCCGAGGCACGAUUUGGGUGUAAGCGAGCCCACUUGUUGGCCGUCCCUUUUGAGGUCCAUCAAUGCCACUGACAAGUAAAUAAUCAGAAGGUGGGCAUAGGUGGUAAGGUCUGCAAAGCAGCAAAAGGGGGAGUUCUGAAUAGUCUGGUGUUCAAUCCUUGUGGUUGGGUGGAAGGAUCUCUUUGGGGGGUCCUAAAUGCCUAGUCUAACUACUGAUUUAUAAAACCUUAAUGUGAAGAAGCAGCUUACGACGGGGAAGGUUAUCCCGAAGACAAUCAAGAUGAAGUAUUAGAGCCGUGGUUCACUUGAAAAUUAGACUAGUAGUUGUUUUUUGUGUUCUCUCUUCUUUUACCUUUUAGUUUGACAAUAUUUGUAAACCUCUAGUGGAACUCAAAUCAGUUAUCCAUGUUAUAACUCCGCUUGUAUGUGUAUAUUAACGUAUUGUGGUUAUCUAUUUUGUUUGAGUUGUACUUUAUAUAUUUCUCUUGCGGUCUCAAA